rnacentral:rRNA from 1 species
GAUUAAGCCAUGCAUGUGUAAGUAUAAAUAAUUCCACUUUGAAACUGCGAAUGGCUCAUUAUAUCAGUUAUAGUUUAUUAGAAAAAAUGUACUACUUGGAUAACCGUAGUAAUUCUAGGGCUAAUACAUGAAUGAAUCCUCGACUUUGAAGAGGUGUGUUUAUUAGUAUGAAAACCAUAUGCUUCGGCAUGAUAGUGAGUAAUAAUAACCUUUCGUAUCGUAUGUUGAAAUAACGAUAGUUCUUUCAAGUUUCUGCCCUAUCAGCUUUCGAUGGUAGUGUAUUGGACUACCAUG